rnacentral:misc_RNA from 1 species
AACCUUAUGGACCUGCGGGCGUAUACCUGCGGAGGGAUCAUUAAUGAAUAAACUUGGUCAAGCUGUUGCUGGUCCUUCGGGACAUGUGCACGCUUGCCACCAAUUUCAACCACCUGUGCACCUUUUGUAGACUGGAAACGUUUCUCGGGGCAACUCGGAUUGAGAAUUGCUGCGCGCAAGCCGGCUGUUCUUGUGUUUCUCAGUCUAUGUUUCUAUAUACUCCUAAUGUAUGUAUCUGAA